GCAUUAUACCGUGAAACUGCGAAUGGCUCAUUAAAUCAGUUAUCGUUUAUUUGAUAGUACCUUACUACUUGGAUAACCGUGGUAAUUCUAGAGCUAAUACAUGCUAAAAACCCCAACUUCGGGAGGGGUGUAUUUAUUAGAUAAAAAACCAACGCCCUUCGGGGCUUCUUGGUGAUUCAUGAUAACUUUACGGAUCGCAUGGCCUUGCGCCGGCGACGGUUCAUUCAAAUUUCUGCCCUAUCAACUUUCGAUGGUAAGGUAUUGGCUUACCAUGGUUUCAACGGGUAACGGGGAAUUAGGGUUCGAUUCCGGAGAGGGAGCCUGAGAAACGGCUACCACAUCCAAGGAAGGCAGCAGGCGCGCAAAUUACCCAAUCCCGACACGGGGAGGUAGUGACAAUAAAUACUGAUACAGGGCUCUUUUGGGUCUUGUAAUUGGAAUGAGUACAAUUUAAACCUCUUAACGAGGAACAAUUGGAGGGCAAGUCUGGUGCCAGCAGCCGCGGUAAUUCCAGCUCCAAUAGCGUAUAUUAAAGUUGUUGCAGUUAAAAAGCUCGUAGUUGAAACUUGGGUCUGGCUGGCAGGUCCGCCUCACCGCGUGUACUUGUCCGGCCGGGCCUUCCUUCUGGAGAACCUCAUGCCCUUCACUGGGCGUGUUGGGGACCAGGACUUUUACUUUGAAAAAAUUAGAGUGUUCAAAGCAGGCCUUUGCUCGAAUACGUUAGCAUGGAAUAAUAGAAUAGGACGUGCGGUCCUAUUUUGUUGGUUUCUAGGACCGCCGUAAUGAUUAAUAGGGACAGUCGGGGGCAUCAGUAUUCAAUUGUCAGAGGUGAAAUUCUUGGAUUUAUUGAAGACUAACUACUGCGAAAGCAUUUGCCAAGGAUGUUUUCAUUAAUCAGUGAACGAAAGUUAGGGGAUCGAAGACGAUCAGAUACCGUCGUAGUCUUAACCGUAAACUAUGCCGACUAGGGAUCGGGCGAUGUUCUUUUUCUGACUCGCUCGGCACCUUACGAGAAAUCAAAGUUUUUGGGUUCUGGGGGAG
rnacentral:rRNA from 1 species